AAUGGAGGAAACUCUGAUGCAGCCAUGCCGCGUGAGUGAAGAAGGCCCUAGGGUUGUAAAGCUCUUUUAACUGUGAAGAUAAUGACGGUAGCAGUAGAAAAAGCCCCGGCUAACUUCGUGCCAGCAGCCGCGGUAAUACGAAGGGGGCAAGCGUUGUUCGGAAUUACUGGGCGUAAAGCGUGUGUAGGCGGAUUAGCAAGUUGGAAGUGAAAUCCCAGGGCUCAACCCUGGAACUGCUUUCAAAACUGCUUUUCUAGAAUCUCGGAGAGGAUAGCGGAAUUUCCAGUGUAGAGGUGAAAUUCGUAGAUAUUGGAAGGAACACCAGUGGCGUAGGCGGCUAUCUGGACGAGUAUUGACGCUAAGACACGAAAGUGUGGGGAGCAAACAGGAUU
rnacentral:rRNA from 1 species